rnacentral:rRNA from 1 species
AACGAACGCUGGCGGCAUGCCUAACACAUGCAAGUCGAACGAGAUCUUCGGGUCUAGUGGCGCACGGGUGCGUAACGCGUGGGAAUCUGCCCUUUGGUUCGGAAUAACAGUUGGAAACGACUGCUAAUACCGGAUGAUGACGAAAGUCCAAAGAUUUAUCGCCAGAGGAUGGGCCCGCGUAGGAUUAGCUAGUUGGUGUGGUAAAGGCGCACCAAGGCGACGAUCCUUAGCCGGUCUGAGAGGAUGAUCAGCCACACUGGGACUGAGACACGGCCCAGACUCCUACGGGAGGCAGCAGUGGGGAAUAUUGGACAAUGGGCGAAAGCCUGAUCCAGCAAUGCCGCGUGAGUGAUGAAGGCCUUAGGGUUGUAAAGCUCUUUUACCCGGGAUGAUAAUGACAGUACCGGGAGAAUAAGCUCCGGCUAACUCCGUGCCAGCAGCCGCCGUAA